UACGUAGGUGGCAAGCGUUGUCCGGAAUUACUGGGCGUAAAGGGCGUGUAGGCGGCCAAUUAAGUCAGAUGUGAAAUCCCCGGGCUUAACCUGGGAACUGCAUUUGAGACUGGAUGGCUUGAGGACCGGAGAGGGUAGUGGAAUUCCUAGUGUAGCGGUGAAAUGCGUAGAUAUUAGGAGGAACACCAGUGGCGAAGGCGACUACCUGGACGGCACCUGACGCUGAGGCGCGAAAGCCAGGGUAGCAAACGGG
rnacentral:rRNA from 1 species